rnacentral:rRNA from 1 species
UCGGGAAUUUUGGGCAAUGGGGGAAACCCUGACCCAGCAACGCCGCGUGAAGGAUGAAGUAUUUCGGUAUGUAAACUUCGAAAGAAUAGGAAGAAUAAAUGACGGUACUAUUUAUAAGGUCCCGGCUAACUACGUGCCAGCAGCCGCGGUAAUACGUAGGGACCAAGCGUUGUUCGGAUUUACUGGGCGUAAAGGGCGCGUAGGCGGCAUGACAAGUCACUUGUGAAAUCUCUGGGCUUAACCCAGAACGGCCAAGUGAUACUGUCGCGCUAGAGUGCAGAAGGGGCAAUCGGAAUUCUUGGUGUAGCGGUGAAAUGCGUAGAUAUCAAGAGGAACACCUGAGGUGAAGACGGGUUGCUGGGCUGACACUGACGCUGAGGCGCGAAAGCCAGGGGAGCAAACGGGAUUAGAUACCCCUGUAGUCCCUGAGCGGGCUGGCAAGGCGCAU